AACGAACGCUGGCGGCAUGCCUAACACAUGCAAGUCGAACGAGACGGCCGGGCCUAGUGGCGCACGUGGGCGUGACGAGGGGGAACCUACCCUUAGGUUCGGAAUACCUCCCCGUAAGGGGAGCUAAUACCGCUUAAUGUCUUACGACAAACGAUUUACUGCCUUUGGGUGGGCCCGGGUUGGUUUCGGUGGUUGGUAGGGUAAAAGCCGGCCAUGGCCACGUUGCAUAGCUGGUCUGGGAGCAUGCCCCACAACACUUGGACUGAGGCACGGCCCAGACUCCUACGGGAGGCAGCAGUGGGUUGUAUUGGACGCUGGGCGAUAGCCUGAUCCAGCCGUGUCGGGUAAGUGGUGCAGGCCUUAGGAUUGUAAAGCUCUUUUUCCCGAGAUGAUAGUGACGGUACCGGGAGAAUAAGCACCGGCUAACUCCGUG
rnacentral:rRNA from 1 species